rnacentral:rRNA from 1 species
GUGAGGAAUUUUGCGCAAUGGGCGAAAGCCUGACGCAGCAACGCCGCGUGAGGGAUGAAGGCCUUCGGGUCGUAAACCUCUUUCGAUUGAGAAGAAGUCUUUUGGGAUGAAUAAGCCCAGGAGAUUGACGGUACCGAUAGAAGAAGCCACGGCUAACUCUGUGCCAGCAGCCGCGGUAAGACAGAGGUGGCAAGCGUUGUUCGGAUUUACUGGGCGUAAAGAGCAUGUAGGCGGUUAGAUUAGUCAGUUGUGAAAUCCUAUGGCUUAACCAUAGAACUGCAUCUGAUACUGUCUAGCUAGAGUGCAGGAGAGGAGAGUGGAAUUUCCAGUGUAGCGGUGAAAUGCGUAGAUAUUGGAAGGAACACCGGUGGCGAAGGCGGCUCUCUGGUCUGUAACUGACGCUGAGAUGCGAAAGCGUGGGUAGCAAACAGG